rnacentral:rRNA from 1 species
UACGUAGGGGGCGAGCGUUGUCCGGAUUUAUUGGGCGUAAAGAGCGCGUAGGCGGCCAGGUAGGUCCGUUGUGAAAACUCGAGGCUCAACCUCGAGACGUCGAUGGAAACCAUCUGGCUAGAGUCCGGAAGAGGAGAGUGGAAUUCCUGGUGUAGCGGUGAAAUGCGCAGAUAUCAGGAAGAACACCUAUGGCGAAGGCAGCUCUCUGGGACGGUACUGACGCUGAGACGCGAAAGCGUGGGGAGCGAACAGG